AGAGUUUGAUCAUGGCUCAGAUUGAACGCUGGCGGCAGGCCUAACACAUGCAAGUCGAGCGGUAGAGAGGUGCUUGCUCCUCUUGAGAGCGGCGGACGGGUGAGUAAUGCCUAGGAAUCUGCCUGGUAGUGGGGGAUAACGCUCGGAAACGGACGCUAAUACCGCAUACGUCCUACGGGAGAAAGCAGGGGACCUUCGGGCCUUGCGCUAUCAGAUGAGCCUAGGUCGGAUUAGCUAGUUGGUGGGGUAAUGGCUCACCAAGGCGACGAUCCGUAACUGGUCUGAGAGGAUGAUCAGUCACACUGGAACUGAGACACGGUCCAGACUCCUACGGGAGGCAGCAGUGGGGAAUAUUGGACAAUGGGCGAAAGCCUGAUCCAGCCAUGCCGCGUGUGUGAAGAAGGUCUUCGGAUUGUAAAGCACUUUAAGUUGGGAGGAAGGGCAUUAACCUAAUACGUUAGUGUUUUGACGUUACCGACAGAAUAAGCACCGGCUAACUCUGUGCCAGCAGCCGCGGUAAUACAGAGGGUGCAAGCGUUAAUCGGAAUUACUGGGCGUAAAGCGCGCGUAGGUGGUUCGUUAAGUUGGAUGUGAAAUCCCCGGGCUCAACCUGGGAACUGCAUUCAAAACUGUCUAGCUAGAGUAUGGUAGAGGGUGGUGGAAUUUCCUGUGUAGCGGUGAAAUGCGUAGAUAUAGGAAGGAACACCAGUGGCGAAGGCGACCACCUGGACUGAUACUGACACUGAGGUGCGAAAGCGUGGGGAGCAAACAGGAUUAGAUACCCUGGUAGUCCACGCCGUAAACGAUGUCAACUAGCCGUUGGGAGCCUUGAGCUCUUAGUGGCGCAGCUAACGCAUUAAGUUGACCGCCUGGGGAGUACGGCCGCAAGGU
rnacentral:rRNA from 1 species